GAAGCUGCGGCAGCGACACUAUGUGUUGUUGGGUAGGGGAGCGUUCUGUAAGCCUGUGAAGGUGUGUCGUGAGGCAUGCUGGAGGUAUCAGAAGUGCGAAUGCUGACAUAAGUAACGAUAAAGCGGGUGAAAAGCCCGCUCGCCGGAAGACCAAGGGUUCCUGUCCAACGUUAAUCGGGGCAGGGUGAGUCGACCCCUAAGGCGAGGCCGAAAGGCGUAGUCGAUGGGAAACGGGUUAAUAUUCCCGUACUUGGUGUUACUGCGAAGGGGGGACGGAGAAGGCUAUGUUGGCCGGGCGACGGUUGUCCCGGUUUAAGCGUGUAGGUGUGUGUUCCAGGUAAAUCCGGUUCACUUUAACACUGAGGCGUGACGACGAGGCACUACGGUGCUGAAGCAACAAAUGCCCUGCUUCCAGGAAAAGCCUCUAAGCAUCAGGUAACAUCAAAUCGUACCCCAAACCGACACAGGUGGUCAGGUAGAGAAUACCAAGGCGCUUGAGAGAACUCGGGUGAAGGAACUAGGCAAAAUGGUGCCGUAACUUCGGGAGAAGGCACGCUGACACGUAGGUGAAGUGAUUUACUCAUGGAGCUGAAGUCAGUCGAAGAUACCAGCUGGCUGCAACUGUUUAUUAAAAACACAGCACUGUGCAAACACGAAAGUGGACGUAUACGGUGUGACGCCUGCCCGGUGCCGGAAGGUUAAUUGAUGGGGUCAGCGCAAGCGAAGCUCCUGAUCGAAGCCCCGGUAAACGGCGGCCGUAACUAUAACGGUCCUAAGGUAGCGAAAUUCCUUGUCGGGUAAGUUCCGACCUGCACGAAUGGCGUAAUGAUGGCCAGGCUGUCUCCACCCGAGACUCAGUGAAAUUGAACUCGCUGUGAAGAUGCAGUGUACCCGCGGCAAGACGGAAAGACCCCGUGAACCUUUACUAUAGCUUGACACUGAACAUUGAGCCUUGAUGUGUAGGAUAGGUGGGAGGCUUUGAAGUGUGGACGCCAGUCUGCAUGGAGCCGACCUUGAAAUACCACCCUUUAAUGUUUGAUGUUCUAACGUGGACCCGUGAUCCGGGUUGCGGACAGUGUCUGGUGGGUAGUUUGACUGGGGCGGUCUCCUCCUAAAGAGUAACGGAGGAGCACGAAGGUUGGCUAAUCCUGGUCGGACAUCAGGAGGUUAGUGCAAUGGCAUAAGCCAGCUUGACUGCGAGCGUGACGGCGCGAGCAGGUGCGAAAGCAGGUCAUAGUGAUCCGGUGGUUCUGAAUGGAAGGGCCAUCGCUCAACGGAUAAAAGGUACUCCGGGGAUAACAGGCUGAUACCGCCCAAGAGUUCAUAUCGACGGCGGUGUUUGGCACCUCGAUGUCGGCUCAUCACAUCCUGGGGCUGAAGUAGGUCCCAAGGGUAUGGCUGUUCGCCAUUUAAAGUGGUACGCGAGCUGGGUUUAGAACGUCGUGAGACAGUUCGGUCCCUAUCUGCCGUGGGCGCUGGAGAACUGAGGGGGGCUGCUCCUAGUACGAGAGGACCGGAGUGGACGCAUCACUGGUGUUCGGGUUGUCAUGCCAAUGGCACUGCCCGGUAGCUAAAUGCGGAAGAGAUAAGUGCUGAAAGCAUCUAAGCACGAAACUUGCCCCGAG
rnacentral:rRNA from 1 species